AGAAAGCACCAGGGGUGCCUGUGUCAGCUUCAGAAACCUGGCCUUAUUAGCCAUAAUGCUGACUGAACAGGCUGAGAAAGUCCCUUUGAACCUGAACAGGAUAAUUCCUGCGUAGGGAGUGUGCAUUUUUUUUGUU
rfam:Nicotiana attenuata strain TT chromosome 2, whole genome shotgun sequence.